GGUUCGAUGGCGUAGUUGGUUAUCGCAUCUGUCUAACAUGACCCAUAACCGGUAAUCUGCACAGAAGGUCCCCAGUUCGAGCCUGGGUCGAAUCA